UAGGACAGGGGAAGAAAGAAACAGGGGUUUUGUGAUGCCAACAAAGUAUCAGGAGCUCUGGUCCAUCCCCCUCCUAGCCCAGAGCUCCUCCCUUCUAGGAGACACAGGAAGGGAAGUUCUAUUUUCUUUGCCUUCUUGGAAACCCAGGGGCCGCCACCCAAUUACUGUAAGGCCUCAGCAGAUGCUUAGGAAGCACCCAGCACUGAGUCCCGUGGCUGUCUCAUUUCAUGCUCUGGAGGAUGGAGAAGGAAAAACUUGGAAAAGAGGAAGACCCAGACUUGGAACAAAAAGGUGGUCUCUACAGUCUGAGUUCUUCUGAUGCAGGGACACCAAGAUACACAGCUCCAGGGAGCACCAUUUACAUUUAACUCCUUGAGUCUCUGUGACUCAGGGAAGUAUGCAGGGUUCCUCUGAUACUCCCAGAGCCAGGUCAGUGUGGAGCUACAAGAGAACUUCUCUCCAAACCAGAUGCUGCCAGGGGCCCAGAGUAUCACAAAUUGUACUAUCCUCUAAUUAUCUGCUCUCAAGUUAGUCUAUUAUUGUAUCCAUAUUUGUACAGAUUAUACAAAUUUGUAUGGAUUGUAUUGUAUCCAUUAUUUGUAUCCACAGGACAAAAUCUGAUCUGGUUAAUUGAUGGUUUCAUUAGUUUAUGUCUUGCCUCACCAACUAAAAUGUAAACUCUAUGCAUGAGGACCACAUUCUAUGCUUUUUGGAACCAUACAGCACCUUCUACAUUGCAUUAGUACCCAAUACCCAUUUACGUGUUGACUGAUUCAUCACAGAGGUCAUUCUGAAUUGGUUGCUAUUGUGUGUGGCAUUUGGGUAACACUUGAGGAUACAGAAGAGGAGAGUUCUUCCAGGAGCAUAUGCAGAAACAGGAAAAUGUAUUUCCCAACAAAAUUUACUUCACAACAAAAAAAUUAGCCAUCUCUGUGCCUUCCACUUCAACACGCACCCACCAUUCAGUGCCAUCCUUUGCAAGUGUUGUUUUAAUGCUGUUAUUAAGAAUAGCUUAUUUUGCAUUUUCUCGCCAGUAAAAUGGAAACAUCCAGGCUUACUAGCCAUCUCCUGGAGAGACCACAGAGAGCAGAAAGAAAGUAUAAACUGAUCCCAUUUAUAAAGUAUAUUUAAAAUCAGAGAAUAGUGGGUAUGUUGUGGCUGAGCACACUAUUAGAUGGCUAAAACAUAUCAGGAAAGAAAUCCUCAAUUGUUCAUUUGUGCCAGGGUUGAAUGAGCUAUAUUUAACCUGAUGAUUAUUUAAUUAAAUAGUUC
rnacentral:lncRNA from 10 species